AAUCAAUGAACUUGAAAUAAGUAUAUAUUUUGAAAAUAUAAAAAAGAAUAAAAUUUUCUAUUGAUUU
rnacentral:tRNA from 1 species